rnacentral:rRNA from 1 species
AACGAACGCUGGCGGCAUGCCUAACACAUGCAAGUCGAACGAGACCUUCGGGUCUUGUGGCGCACGGGUGCGUAACGCGUGGGAACCUGCACUUAGGUUCGGAAUAACUCCCCGAAAGGGGUGCUAAUACCGGAUAAUGUCUUCGGACCAAAGAUUUAUCGCCUUUGGAUGGGCCCGCGUUGGAUUAGCUAGUUGGUAGGGUAAAAGCCUACCAAGGCGACGAUCCAUAGCUGGUCUGAGAGGAUGAUCAGCCACACUGGGACUGAGACACGGCCCAGACUCCUACGGGAGGCAGCAGUGGGGAAUAUUGGACAAUGGGCGAAGGCCUGAUCCAGCAAUGCCGCGUGAGUGAUGAAGGCCUUAGGGUUGUAAAGCUCUUUUACCCGGGAUGAUAAUGACAGUACCGGGAGAAUAAGCUCCGGCUAACUCCGUG